CACUUUAGCAUAAAUAAUUGGAAUAAAUAAAUAAUUAAUUCAUAGACACAAAAGGUUCUAUUGUAGUCUUAAUAAAAGAAUUAAUUCAUAACGAAUAAUAAAACCAACAAUCUUAUGAAAAUUAUCCUUAAGGAAUUACACAAAUUGAAAAUAAGGAGAAGAAGAAACUCUAAAGAAAAUCUCCCAAGCUUUAAUCUUCAAUCUUCAAUCUUCAAUCUUCAAGUGAAUCCCUAAUUAGCCUCCAAUGAUGGUUGAUGAUCCUGGUUUAAUUCAGCAAAGUAGCCUUUAUAUACACUUUUAAUCUGACCAAAAUCCUUUUCCCAAUCAACCUCUCAAUUAAGUCUCUAAUCCAAGUCAAAUCUUCAUCCCACGCGCGCAUCUGGUCAACAUAAGCCGGGCCCCAGCGCCCCGGCGCUGUAGUUCACAGAUAUUACGACUUUGCCAUCUAAACAGCUCAAAUCCCUACUUUGCCCCUGCAUCUCUACAAUCUGCAAAAUAACAAAUAAACACAGAUAAAAUACUUCUAAAAGGCUCGAGAAUACAACAAUUUAAGCCCACGUAUAUCUAAUUCAUGGGUAUAUUACCUAAUCAUCAAUGGCAAAUGAGAUUAUUUUUGUAGAACAUACUUUAUGUUCCCAACGUUUCUCAUGUUCUAUUUUCAAAUUUAUAGAUAUAUGCAACACAAGCAGAGGCCUUACUAAAGCUCAGAAAACACCAAGAAGCAUAUUCCACAAUUCGGAAGGGGCCUAAUUUCGACACUAAUCUUUGUACUCAAUUCUUUGGGGCAGCUGGUUGUUCUAAUUUAUUAACAAUCCGAGCACAAGUUUACAUGGCAGCUGGCAGGUUGGUGAAACAAUUUCAACCCCAAAUUUGUGCUACAUUGUAAUUUUGAUUAUUAAGCCAACAGAGUUCAUUACAAUCUUUUUUGACUCUUGAAAUAAUACCGCUAGAGUAAAUAUACAAUUAACGAUAUAUUUGUAAUUGUUUAAGCAACAAUUAUUUCUAAUCAGACAACAUAAUUUUUACUCUAACCGCCUUUAUUUUAUAUGUUAACAAAUGAUAUUAUGGGAAAUUAGGUUUGAGGAGGCUGUGACUGUUGCGCAACGUGCAGCAAAACUUGAACCGAGUAAUGAGGCAAACGCAGUAGCAAAGACGGCUAGAGCCAUGGCAUCAGCUCGAUUAGAUGGCAACGAGCUUUUUAAGGCAUCAAAAUUCUUUGAGGCAUGUAAUGUGUAUAGUGAAGGACUGCAACAUGAACCACUUAACUCAAUUUUAUUAUGCAAUCGCGCUGCUUGUCUAUCUAAGUUGGGCCAAUAUGAAAAAGCAGUUGAAGACUGUAGUGCAGCCCUUAGUGUGAGGUCUUCUUACAUCAAGGCCAGACUUAGAAGAGCAGAUUGCUUGUCAAAGGUAACUAGAAUCGUGUUAUUUAACAACUUUUUUUUUUUGCUAUUUCUGGAAGACUAAAAUUUGUAGAGCGGAUCCGUAGCAAAUGGUAGCUUGCACCAUCCAUUACAAAAUUUGAUGAUCAAAAUUUAAAGAAGAACGGGACCCUCCGCAAUAUUGUGUUGCCGAGGGGAAGUUGUCUUGGUGUUAAUUCAAAAGACAAAAAUACAAUUUACUCUCCCAAGUUUGUAUAUGGUUAACGUUUGCAACUCAAUAUUUAAAACGUAGCUAAGCUCACUCCAAAGUUCUUUUUUGCUUAAAAAAAAUAUAAUUUGCAACUAAAAGUGAGGGUGCAUUUUGUUUAGAGAAAGGAACCUUGAGGUGCAUUUUAACUAGUUGAAAGGCUCGGAUGAUGCAUUUUGUUUAACAAAAAAGAAUCUUGAUACACUUUAAAUAUUGAGGUGCAAACUUCAAUAAUCCUACAAAUUUUGGGGCUCAAAUUGUACUUUAGUCUAAUUCAAACCUAGUAAUGUUUUCCAAGACCGUUAAGUUGUUCGCUACAUGUGUUGUAGAACGUCCCAUCUUUUCUAAAAUGCUUGCAAUCAGAUCUUUUAAUGAAUAGUACAAGAUAUGGUGAUCAUUGAAGAGUCCAUAGCCAUCAUUUGUUAUGGAUUGGCUUCCUAGAAAUAAUUUACAUCCUCUUAAUAUAGCAUGAUUUAUUUGUCAUGCAUAUUAACGGAUUAUUCGCUAUUUGGUGUUUUUUAGCUAGAAAGAUGGGAGGCAGCAGUUCAGGAUUAUGAGAUUUUGAUAAAAGAGAUUCCUGAAGAUGAGGAAAUAGAGAGGGCUUUGUAUGUAGCUCAAGUCCAUGCUAAGAAGCAGAAAAGCGAAGACCUUAAGAACAUGAAGAAUAUUGGUUGUUCAAAUUUGGUUAUGAUUUCCAGCAAGGAACACUUCAGACGCUUUGUAAUUGCACCUGGUAAUUAUUCAAUCCGUGACAAUUGAAUUUGAAUUUGAAUUUAAAUUACCAGAUUAUUGAAUUUUUUGGCAAAUUUUCAAAUGGCUGAAGGGAUGUCUGUGGUGCUCUUCUGUAACAAAACAUGCCACAAGCAAUUGUUGCAGCUAAUGGAGCAAGUCUGCCUGAGAUUCCCGUCUGUCAACUUUCUCAAGGUUCGAUCAUCUAUACCUUAGAAUUUCCUAAGUUUGUUUGCAAAAAUGAUUAGUGGGAUAUGACUAUUUUUGUUUAUUUAUUAUCAUAUAGUUCAAACUAUUUUAUCCUGUUAUUAGUUUGUUAUUUAAUCUCAUGGAUUAUAUUUUGUCAUUUCUAAUGCCAUUAAGCAGAAAUUUCACUUUUGAGAUAUCAAAUGACCACAAAAAUUAAAAUUAACCGUCCAAGGGAUUAAGGGUUUGCGGUAGUAGCGUUUAUAGCGGUAGCGUUUAGACUUCUAAACGCACCGCACUAUUUUUGGUGUAUUACAUUUGAGCGUAAAGACUUUAUUUUUGAACUAUAUAAGUUGCGCUUAAAAUAAAUUAUUCCUAGACGAACAUGAUUUUUAACUGCAUUUAGACUUUCAAACGUUUCGAACUCUAUGUCGACAAACACACUAAAUAACAGACAAAUUAUGAGAUAAAAAUAGUCCCUAAUAGUGUGAAAUUAGUAAAAAUAGUUCUAUCAUAUCGAUCAUUUUAACAAACAAACUUGGCCCUUUUCAAUAUGUGAAUCAUUAAAUCUAUCUUUUGGUCAAGAAUCAGAACUGAUUUUAUUAUAUAGUUCUCAUGGUGUUUUUAUCGAUGAAAAUUCAGGUGGAAAUUGAAGACAACCCUUAUAUACUGCAGUUGGAGGAUGUGAACUCUGUUCCGGCCUUCAAAAUAUACAAGAAUGGAUCAACGAUAAAGGAAAUUUCAGGAGAUAACUGUCAGUUAUUAGAAAGCUCAGUCAAAAUGAUCAGCAGUACACCUUUUAACUGAAGAGCAAACUAAUUUUACGAUGAAUGGAGAUUCAUCAGGAGGAGGAAUAGAAAUAACAAUCAUUAGAUAUAUUAUUUUAGCAGUUCUUUUAUUGGCUUUUUUUAGCAUAGCUCUCAAAGAUGGAGUUAAAAGAAUGGUGCAAUUUUUUGUUCUUGAUUAAUUAUCGACUUAACUAAGAAAUUAGAUGGGACGAUCUGUUUUGCUGAUUUUAGGAUUAAAUGUACAGAACUUUGCUGAUUUUAUAGAACUGAUUUCUCAGUGUGGUUUGUUGGAUUGAUGAAAGCAUAGCUAAUCAAACUUGUUUAUUUGUAUUUUUCUUUAUUCUUUUUGUUCAUUUUUCGCCGAAAAACACUCAUUCGUUUCAGUCACCACUAGUAACAUGGUAAAAGACGCGAAAUGCUUAAAGCCACAAGAAUUCCCAGCAAAAUCGACAUGAGAGCACAAGGUCGGAUAUAAUGACAAUAGAACACCCUUUAUAAUAAUAUCCUAGGUCAAUAAUAGUCUGGGGCGGAUGCCGACUUUUGGUGAAUAGAGUCAAAUUUGAAAUAAACAAAUUUUUACAAAAAAAAAAUAUAUAUAGUAAAAUAAAUUACAAAACUAAAUAAUCCCUAAACAUUAUUUAUAGUAACAUUUUUUGAAAUUUUAUUACUUCAAAUUAUUGUACGAUAGUCUAAUUUUUAUCAGUUACAAAAAUCCACAGACAAUUAAAAAAACACAAGUAAUUACAAAAUAUCUCAAAGUAAUUGCUAAAUUUAUGAAAUUAUAAAUAAAAAAUACAACAUAUCGAAUUUUCUCUAAAGUCGAACUAGUGAGAAGAAUUAGGCCAAACCGUUAAACAAGAAACGAAGAGACAAAAAGUAUUGUAGUUACCAAGAUAGUAUAAGAUAUGAACUUUAAAGAAUUUAAUACCACCUCCAAUUUAAAAUUAGAUAUAUAUUUUUAUUUUUUAAAGUCAAUUCGCGAAAUCAUAAAACUCAAAUUGAAUUGAUAUAAGUUUGUUCAAGUUUUGAAAACAACAAAGAUAAUAAUUAGUAGUAUUUUAUAGUUAGUUUAAAAUUGUUAUAUAUAUUGUAUUAAAACUAAAUAACUUUAGUUUACAAAUGACUUAAAAAAGUCAAAAUAUAUAUUUAAUUUUGGAACGGAGAUAGUAUUUUUCAAUUUAAACUUUAAAUUUUUUAUUAAACACCCUAAAAUUUAUUCUUUUUUUUACCCUUAAAAAUUCACUGCCUCUAACCUAGGUCUGCCACUGAUAAUAGUGAGAGUUGUUUCAAGUAUAACCCUAAACAAUUUUUAAAGAGUCGAGAAUAUGUCAGAAACCCUAAUUAGACAAACAAGUAGCAAAAUUAUUUUAAGGACAAAGGUCCAAAAAUAUACCUGAUAUUUUCUUCGAAAUCCCACUUCCAUCUUGAACUUUCUUUCUUUUUUUUGUAUCAAAAGUAUACUUAACGUUACAAAUUUUAGCCUAACUAUGCCUCUCCCGUUAAAAGACAUGCCACAUAGACAAACUCCGCUUACACGUGGAUAUUUUUUUUCACAAUUAAUUUAGACAAAUGAUAUACAUAUAACUGCCUCAUACCAGAACAUAUAGUAGGUUAGAUCCUAGAAGCACACCUCCAUCAUUCAUGAUUUGUUUCAGCAAUGAAAAAUUAACUCAUUAAUUCUAUCUAAUAAUUUUACCAAGAAGGCAAAUUAAGAGUUAAUAUACUAAAGACAUUGAGAUUCCAAACUUCAAAUUUCUGAGUUUUCCAUGACAAAUUAGAUGCCUGGAGAAUAUCGAUUCAUUCAUCUCUUAUGCAUGUGUUACUUGAGUAAAAUCUAGUUGAUAUCCAAUUUAAAAAUAGAAAUCAUUUCAAAUCAUUUUGGUGAUUUCCAAAAAGUUAGAUGUUGCAAUUAAUAAGUAUUCAAAGAGAGGCAACUGAUCUUACCUUGAGGCAAGGAGGCCUUAACCUUAGAUCAAACGAAAAAAGGGAAAUACAAUAGAAAUGCAUAAAAAAGAAGCGAUAUAUAUGUCAUAUGAGCACAAAAGGAUUUGCAAUUUUACUUCACCUUAGGUGGAUGGAUCACCAAGCCUUAGCUCAAGAUCUAAAUCCUCUUUGGAACUAGGGCUAACUUCCACCACCUUCGAUUGGGGAUCGUGAACAAUAUUUCUAUCAACUGAAGUUUGUUUUGGGAAGAAAGACAUUGUUGCAUCAUCUGCUCUUCUUCUCUUGAAGCACAUAUUAUCAUCCUCUUCACCAGAAGAAGCCGUUUGGUUAUUAUUUCCGCAUACUACAAAGUUAAGGCUCACAGACAAAUCCGCUGCAGCAUAACCCCUCUUGUUAGCCCUAUAGACGUUUGGUGUUACUACUGACUUUGGUGCAACCUCUCACAGGAGAACCACCAAGACGGCUGACCUACAAACGAAGCUUAUUCGGCUUCUAGGGUUUAACCGGUCCCCAGCCGUCGGGGUUGAAGGGGACGGCGCCGAUUUCAAAGCCUACCAUGUUGUUUUCCGAUCUGAUUGAGGUGAGAGAGUGAAGAUGAGUGAGAGAUAGGGGAGGGUGUAAAGAUUGAGAUUUGGGAGAGUAGAGAACUGCUUCAGAUGUUGGAAGCGAUGUUGGAAGGCUAAGAGAGAAAAAGAC
rnacentral:lncRNA from 1 species